UGGCCAUACCAUGCUGAAUAUACCGGUUCUCGUUAGAUCACCGAAGUCAAGCAUCAUUGGGCGCGGUCAGUACUUGGGUGGGUGACCACCUGGGAACACCGCGUGCCGU
rnacentral:rRNA from 1 species